GAUGAAGAACGCAGCGAAAUGCGAUAACUAAUGUGAAUUGCAGAAUUCCGUGAAUCAUCGAGUCUUUGAACGCACAUUGCGCCCCCUGGUAUUCCGGGGGGCAUGCCUGUCCGAGCGUCAUUGCUGCCCAUCAAGCACGGCUUGUGUGUUGGGUCCUCGUCCCCCCCGGGGGACGUGCCCGAAAGGCAGCGGCGGCACCGCGUCCGGUCCUCGAGCGUAUGGGGCUUUGUCACCCGCUCUGCAGGCCCGGCCGGCGCUGGCCGACGCGAAAGCAACCAUUUUUUCUCCAGGUUGACCUCGGAUCAGGUAGGGAUACCCGCUGAACUUAAGCAUAUCAUAAGCGGAGGA
rnacentral:misc_RNA from 1 species